rnacentral:rRNA from 1 species
CGUGUAGGCGGUUUUGUUAGUCAGAUGUGAAAGCCCUAGGCUUAACCUAGGAGGUGCAUUUGAUACUGCAAAGCUAGAGAUCGAGAGAGGAAAGUGGAAUUACGAGUGUAGAGGUGAAAUUCGUAGAUAUUCGUAAGAACACCAGUGGCGAAGGCGACUUUCUGGCUCGAUACUGACGCUAAGGCGCGAAAGCGUGGGGAGCAAACAGGAUUAGAUACCCUGGUAGUCCACGCUGUAAACGAUGAGUGCUAGAUGUUGGUGGAGUUAUUCAUCAGUGUCGCAGCUAACGCAAUAAGCACUCCGCCUGGGGAGUACGGUCGCAAGAUUAAA